rnacentral:rRNA from 1 species
CUCCUUUGACGUUAGCGGCGGACGGGUGAGUAACACUUGGGUAACCUACCUAUAAGACUGGGAUAACUUCGGGAAACCGGAGCUAAUACCGGAUAAUAUUUCGAACCGCAUGGUUCGAUAGUGAAAGAUGGUUUUGCUAUCACUUAUAGAUGGACCCGCGCCGUAUUAGCUAGUUGGUAAGGUAACGGCUUACCAAGGCGACGAUACGUAGCCGACCUGAGAGGGUGAUCGGCCCCACUGGAACUGAGACACGGUCCAGACUCCUACGGGAGGCAGCAGCC